AAGUCGUAACAAGGUUUCCGUAGGUGAACCUGCGGAAGGAUCAUUACCGAGUUAGGGUCUCCUCCGUGAGGCCCGACCUCCCAACCCCGUGUCUAUUAAACCUGUUAGUGUUGCUUCGGCGGAACGGCAGUCGCUCCCUCUUCACCGGGGGGGAUACCGUCGCCGGGGGGUUCAACGGUCUCACCACCGCCCCUGGAGAGCGUCCGCCGAUGGCCCAACCAAACAAACUCCCAAACCAAAAUUAUAGUACCUAAAACUUCUGAAUCAGACCUUUUGAUAUACCAAUCAAAAACAAAACUUUCAACAACGGAUCUCUUGGUUCUG
rnacentral:misc_RNA from 1 species